CGGGGUGUAGCUCAGUCUGGUUAGAGCGCACGGUCGGGGACCGUGAGGUCGGUGGUUCAAGUCCACUCAUCCCGA
rnacentral:tRNA from 1 species